GUUUGCAAUAUUAGGAUUUUUUUAAAAAGUUUCAAGUUUUGAAGUUGCUAACAUAAACCAAUAUUCGUUCGUCUGUGUCAAAAGCCGCCACUUUUUUUUAAAUUAUGAACGAAAAUACAUUUGACAACACGGCAGGCCGUGGCCCGUGGCCAACACAUAGGAGACUAAUUCCCCUGAAAGAGCUUAUUGACAUUCAAACGAGUUUUUUGAUACCACGUAAUGCAUAAUUUUGUUUUCAGUGAAUAUUGAAGAUAGAAAUUUUUUCGUUACAUGAUAUUAAUCUAAUCGCCUGAUCAGGACGUAGCAGGAAUAAGCUAGAAAACUCUGUUGUUUUAAAGGCACAUUUCGAUACUAAUAUAAUUUACUAAAAAUGAGAACUUGCCACUUCAUAACUUGGGCAACGCUUUAAAACACAACUUUAGGAACCAGGCCCUGCUGCAAUUUAAUUACGCUUUUUGGCUGUAUACAAUAUGCAAGCAAUAGCUAGAGUAGAACAGCACGUAGGAUUGUAUUCUUUCACAUAGUUAGAGCCCCUUUGUAUUUCGUGAUGUCUGAUAAAGUAACGGGAGCUUUGCUGCCGCCAUUGAAACCUACUUGUCCAAUGCACCAUAGAAGAGAAGCAGUUUGGAGAAAGCCACUGUCGAAUAUUAUCUGUUUUACUAUUUUCCUUUGGUAAUGAAGAAAUCGAGGCAAUAGUGUAAUGUUGAAAAGUUUAUGUAGAAGUUACAUAUGUUGACAAAGCUGUUACGUAAGAACUAUCUAUUUAAAAAAGUAUUCAACCAUAUAUAUCCACAUCCAGCCUUUUUGCUCAAUUAUGACUUAUUUUAACCAUUUAAGUGCGAAUAUCGAAAUAGAAAUUUAUCUUUUUAACUUUAAAAAGGCAAAAACACGUUUGAAUGGAAUUAUAACUUAUUGCUUUAGUAAAUUUUGUUGUUUCCUUACACGAUUAUUGACAAAGUGAACAGGACA